rnacentral:rRNA from 1 species
AUUAAACGCUGGCGGCAGGCCUAACACACGCAAGUCGAGCGGAUGAAGGGAGCUUGCUCCUGGAUUCAGCGGCGGACGGGUGAGUAAUGCCUAGGAAUCUGCCUGGUAGUGGGGAUAACGUCCGGAAACGGGCGCUAAUACCGCAUACGUCCUGAGGGAGAAAGUGGGGGAUCUUCGGACCUCACGCUAUCAGAUGAGCCUAGGUCGGAUUAGCUAGUUGGUGGGGUAAAGGCCUACCAAGGCGACGAUCCGUAACUGGUCUGAGAGGAUGAUCAGUCACACUGGAACUGAGACACGGUCCAGACUCCUACGGGAGGCAGCAGUGGGGAAUAUUGGACAAUGGGCGAAAGCCUGAUCCAGCCAUGCCGCGUGUGUGAAGAAGGUCUUCGGAUUGUAAAGCACUUUAAGUUGGGAGGAAGGGCAGUAAGUUAAUACCUUGCUGUUUUGACGUUACCAACAGAAUAAGCACCGGCUAACUUCGU